UGUAAAUAGCCUCGGUUUGGGGUGGAACCUAAGGCGGGCAUUAGGGAUGCACAGGUAGCCCAUUGGUCCUAGGUUUGGCGCCAUAUGUAAAUUCCCAGGGGCGGGAAGAUGGCGUCACAAGUAACUUCCUAGGGGCAGGGCAAGAUGGGGCUUCCUGCUUCCGGUUGUGGCUUUCCUGGCUACAGUGUCCUGCCUGGGCCAAAACCUUUCAACUAUGUAGCCCAGGCUGGCCUCAAACUUGCAGUGAUCCUCCUACCUCAGCAUCCCAAGUGCUAGAAUUACACCUCCAUGCGCAGUCUAUUUAUUUUUAAAACACGGUCUCACUAGGUUUCCUAGCCUGGUCUUGAAGUUAUGAUCCUCCUACCUGGCUCCCCGUGCAGUUAGGAUUAAAGCAUGCAGCACUGUGCCUGGCUUGGAGAUGAUUUUUACUGACACAGCUGGGGAGGGCUGGAGGUACUACUCACAUCUGGUAGGUUAGGAGAAGUGGAGUUUCCAAACACCGAGCAGUGCCCAGGACCAGCCCUAACAGUGCCAUGGUGUGUGUGUGUGUGUGUGUGUGUGUGUGUGUGUGUGUGUUACUGGGGCUUGAGCCCAGGGCCUCCCACACACAGGCAAGCACUCUACCACCGAACUAUAUCCUCAGCCCCUUUUAUCUCUGGCACACAUUCUUUCUACAUUGCCCAGGCCGCCUUGAGCCUGUGGUUCUCCUGUCUCAGCUUCCUGCGUAGCUGAGAUCACAGGCAUGCACCUCCAGGCCUGGCUCCAGCACCGACUCUUUUUCUCACAGACAUGUGGCUGCUGAUCAGGUCCUCACCGCUCUCCUUUGCCAGGCAAGGGAGUAGACCCUGGAGGGCGGUGUCAUCUUACCGUAACCUGAAGCUUACCAUACUGCCCUGAAGAGACGGAAAUAUGAAUUUCUACCCCAAACUAGGCUAUUUCAGAGUACGGUGUUUUCACUGAAAAGAGGGGGAUUGAUUGCUGAUUGAUUUAAGACCUAAAUAUUAGCUUGAGCGAGUUGUUGGAAAAUGUCCAAGGUGUCAAGCCCUGAGGUUCUCCCCGGCCUUCAUUAGGAGGGAGGUUCCCAGGUGUCUCUACUGUUAGCACAGGAGCUGUUAUCUGAUGCGUGGGACACUGCACUGGGACACUUCUCAGUGGUCCCUUCCAGGCCUGCCUCUCCUUGCCCCGUGACAUGUGUCACCCAGCAUCUGGCAGCCUGACCUUCUCACCGUGCACCAGAGCUCAGAGGCCCCCAAGACAUUUUCUUUGUGUGCUUCAAACCCCAGCCUUGACCUGGGGCCCCUGGGCGAGGCCGUGAGUCUUCAAGAGCUCGCUCUUACAGUGCAGCAUUCCCGAGGGGUACAGGAGGGAGUGGAGUGAAAACAAAGUUUCCGGAAGCUUUUAGUUUACAUUUGACUGCUUUGGGGAUGACAAAGCAGAAAGACAGAGACAGGAGAGGCAGGCUGUGAUUUAUAAAAUAGCAGGAGCUGUCCAGGCAGCUGCACGCUGAAAGGUUUCGGGGCACUCGAGGGUGUCAUGCAGGUGCGGUUUAUCACUCACUCGUUCACACACACGCACACACGUGCAUGUUUCUCCUGCAGCGAAUACUCUGUAACAUUUCUAACUCUUUUUUUGAUCCUGGGGCUCGAGCCCAGGGCCUAGUGUUUGCUAAGCACACACUUUACUGCUGAGCUACACCCCAAGCCACCACGUGUAGCAGCCUUAAUUCAGGCCAUAAGGAAGCUGCUCGGUUUCACUCGGGCUGAAGCUCUGGAGCCAAGAGCCCAAAUGCUGCAGAGGUGGAGGUGGGGGUCGGGCCGGUGCAGCGCAGGAGACUGCGGAGCUGAGUGUGCACCGUGGAGCAGAGGGACCCCGCCAGCCGCCUCCCACAGGCUCUGUGAGUUUGCUUCUAUUUCCCCAGAACCAGCGAUUAAAAUUGCACGGAGAGAGAAGGAUGGGGUCAUGCUGGACUUGACAGCUCAAAUCCGCUCAGCGUGACUGCAGGCUCACAGCCGUGUUUCAAAGUCCAGAACACACUGAAAAGAACCACAAAGACUUCCUUCUUGUCCUGGGAAGCUGAAGCAAACUGCAUAAACCUCAUCCGAACGGCCUGGACCCUGCCGGGGGGGAACGGCCGCUACCCCAGCUCCUGGCAGAACUGGCUGAGGAUUUGAGUGUUAUUCUAUAGAAUGUUUCACCUGAUAAUUUUUUUUUUUGAGACAGGUCUCACUUUGAUACCCAGGUUUUUGGUUGUUUUGUUUGUCCAUCAGUUUGUCUAAAACAGACGCUCACUAUGUAGCUCAGGUUGGCCUCAAAUUUAUGACAGUCCUCCUGCCUCAGCCUCGGAAUAGUUAGAACUACAGACAUGCACUGCUGGACGGGGUCAGUGUUUCACUUUAAAAUGAAAAGCAAGGAGCUUUUCUGUAACAGUUCAGCUGCUCCGUGGGGCUGGAGCUACAGAGCCCGCUGAGCCAGGGGCUGUGCUGCCCGGACCUGGAGUUCAGGAGGGGGACGGAGCUCUGCCUUGUGUGGGUUGGGAGCCCAGCCAGGCACUGGCGGGGAACAUGGCUGGGAAGGUCUGGGGGAGACAAGGCUCGCAGACAGACACAGAGGAAGGGAAGGACAUCUCCAACUGUCAUAUAAGCGCACAGACUGUACGACUCCAGAGUUCAAAUCCAUGCAAAUGUUUCCCAGUGAUGGAACGGGACUUCCCCCUAGACAGAAUGGAAUGACAGGGCUGAAUUUAUUCUCCCAUCUGAAACAAAUGAAAAGGAAGGGGCCAGGGAUUUAGCUCAGCCUGGCAAGUGCGAGGUCAAGAGUUAGAUCCCCAGUACCAAAAACAAAAACAAAAACAAAAAACCCCAAUCCUUACAAAUGAAAAAACUCAUUUCUAUCUCUAUCAUCUAAGAGCCUUCUACCUCUGCCUCUGCCUCUACCCUAUCCUACCUCUGUGGUUCUCAGACAUUGUGUACCAAGAUCAGAAGUGCUUCCUGAGUGUGUGGCUUGCUGGCCGGGGUGUCCAGGCUGCCCUGGGAAGCUGGCAUGCCUGGUGGGCUGAGGGCAGAUCCCACUGGAGGAGAGAGCUGCACCUAGAGAGGGUCCGGAGAUCAGAAGCCCCCGCCCCAUCUUCAGUUACUGUUCAGUGCACACAUGUGGGGAAAUUACUCAGAGCUGGGGAGAUAACCACCAAGUCAGAGCAGAGACAGUGAUUCUUGAUUGAUGAUCAGUGUGAUUCAUGGGGCCUCAGGGAAGUUUUCAAAAGGACCUUGCCUCCUGAGAAGUUAGCUCAGGAAGCCUAACAAGGCUUUAACAAAGCUUGGAGAGACUCAAGUGUUUCUGAGUAACUGCUUUAUUCUGCUUCCCAGAAUAAAGCUAAAGGGAAUAUUUGUAGGAACAGAAAAAUAUCAAGGUGAAAUUCACAAAGUCUGUCACCCCAUAGAAAAGUUGGUUUUAUGCGAAGCCCAGGAAAAAAGAAGCCAGUUCACCCUUCCCAUAAGUGACCAGCAUGUGGGCUGAGAAUCAAGAGGCUGUUCCCCUGCACUUCCCCUCCCUCCUCAAAAGCAACUGGCUGAUUCAGAGGACAGGCUAAGUUGAUAGCAACUAAAUGCUUGUGUUGUUUGGUUGACUUUGCAGGCCUAGGGCUGGUGGUCUGAGCAUCCACUAGGAGGAUGACAGUAUGCAAUGUGGCAGAUAUGGGGGAUUUCCUUCUGUCUUGUCUCUGUCAGUAUUAGUCUCACUGUUUUUUAUUGUUCUGAUGUAUUGUUCUGUUUUACUCAGUGUUCUGUUUUGAUUGGUUGUAUUCUUGAUUUUACUAUGGGGAAAUGGACAACUAUUGUGAAGAUAACAAGAUACAUUAUGGUAGCCACUGUUCAUUUCCUAUUAUCCUGUUUUGAAGUUCUGUGCCACUUUCACUGCCUUGUUUGGACUGGCUUUAUUCUGUUAGGUUUUAUUUUCUUUAACAUAAAAAAUACUUUUUUUAAUUUAAAAAAAGAAGAACUGGUAGGCAUGUGAGCAGACAGGAAAAUACAGUCAAGAAUGAGAAAAUUCAAUCAAUGGAAACAACCCAGAAAGGACACAUUAAAUUAGACAAAGUGGAAUUAGUAGAAAAGACAUCAAUACAGUUAUUUUAACUGUAAUUGAUGUGUUUCAGAAUCUACAGGGAGGACUGCAAAUGUGAAGAAAAGAAAUGGAAAAUAUAAAGAAAACUGCGCAUCCACACAUGACACGCACAGUACCCUCGGUGGAAACUUUACUAGGUGGCGUGGUGAGAAGAUUGGACAUGGCAGAAGCAACGAAUCAUAGCCAGGCAUGGCAACACAUGGCCGAAGUCCCAGCACUCGGGAGGCUGAGGCAGGAGGGUCACUGUGAGUCUCAGGCCAGCCUGAACUUCGUAGUGAGACCUUGUGUAACAAAAAAGAAAAGAAAUAACCAUAAAAUGGAAUAUGUGGCAAUAAAAACUACCCAAAACAAAAGAGAAACAAGUAGGGAGAAGUUCAAAUACUUCCUUAAAUCACAUAUUCAUUAUUUUUGAAAUAUUUCAAUAUAUAUGCUAAUUUGUUUUAAUGUUUUGCACUAACUUUUUGAAGAAACAGUACAGAGAGUAAUAACUUGUUGUUCUCUUAUUUGGUUAUGAAAACAUGCUUAUCUUUUCAUAAAAGAAGAACAAGAGUGAGCCGGAUCCAGUGCUGAACGGUCCCACCCAACUGUUCCUUCUGUAGGAGGUGCUGCGGAGAGCUGAAGGCAGUCUGCAUGCAGAGUGUAAAGAGGAAGACUGAAUAAGUCACAGUCUACACAAGAAGAAAACCCUCCACAAUGGAUACAGAAAGUCAGAAGCACAGUGGAGAGCUGUCAGUGAGGGACAGCUUCAAGGCGCACGCGCUGUGUACCAGAGAGCUGUCCCAGCCACCACGCGGUGCUUCCCUGAGGCCGGGGCGGCGGGGAGGAACAGUCUGAGGUUGCUUGCAGAGUCAGGGAGUCCAGCACGGCACCAGCCAAGCAGCCCCACCGCCAAGGACCUCAGUGAAGAUGCCGGGAGGCAGCGGCUAGUAGGUCCAUUGCUCCGCUCUGCCCAGGAGACAGGCGGCAGAGCGCUCUGGGCCCAAGGGGACCCCGGAGAAGGAGAACCGAGGUCCACUUGGAGCAGGCUGUGCUCCUUCGACCACAGGCUGGGACGGUGGCCCCCCGAAGGCCCCAGGGAAAGUGAAUGCCUGACAGCAUCGUGUGCUAACAGAUAAUGGGAGGCAGGUGAAUAAGCCCUCUAACAGCUUAAACCUGUGUCCAAGGGAGUAAAAGCAGGCCAUCCAGACCCUCAGGGCGCCUCUGCCCACCAGAGGCAGAAGCCCCUGGCUGCACAUGCUAACCCAGUUGUGCCUUUCAUCCUGGGUAGCUCUGGGUUAGGGGAAUAAACCAGCUGGGCUGGGACCUACAAGUAGUGCCCUGGGGUGGGGGGAAAGGGGGGACUAGUGGGCUGGUUCCUCACGUGGUGCCUGGACAGGACCUGAGACCAGUUUGGACAUUUGCUACAAGGACAGCUCCCAGUGACCUGGGGCCUCCCACCAAGCCCUGCUUCUUAAAGGACCAGACCCCCCAGUUCUGCCAUUCUGGGGGCCACACCUUUAACACAUAUGGACCUCUGGGGACAUGCUCCUCUAGCAAGUGUGGGACUCUGGGCUCAGUCCCCCGUCCUAGAAAACAAAACAAGACAGACAAAACACCCAAACACAGUGUAACCCUGAAGCAAAGCUGAUUGGUUUGUGGGUGCAAACCUAGUUUGGCCGGUGAGUUUCUUUCCUGGGCUUUGAACUUAGGACCAGAGGAACUCCAGCUAGUCUCGCCAUGGGUGACUGAAGCAGUAACAUGAGAGUCUACGUCUUCUGUCACAGAGAUUGAGAAACACAAGUUACCCGUCUAUAACAGCAGGGAGAAGAACCGGACACAGCCGAGAAAAGUGGACGUAUGAUUUGUAGACGUACAACACCGGUGAGGUUUCCAGUCACAGUGCCACUUGUUUCUAAGCCUGCCUGUCCCCUGGUGCUGUGGCUUCUUAGAUUACAUGAAACGAAUAGAAAAGGGUGUAACAUCUUCAAAGAUGAUGCUUUAGGUUUAGCGCUUCAGGAGGACAUCAGUGUGGGAUGUCCAGCGGGCAGGUGAGCAGAAAUCUCCAAAGCUCUGAGAACAGGCCACACCCCAAGUGGACACUUCGGUUCUCUCCAGCUGUGGGCCCCACCCAAACCCAUAGGGGUGCAGGGAACUGGCAGUGGAGGACACAGAGAAUCCAAAGAUGGACCCCGGAUUAAAAACACAUAAAAAGAAGAAAGAGAAGGAUCAGAGAAAGAAUUUGAGAAGGAAUGUCCAGCAAGACAGGACAAAAGAACGAAGCGGAAGAAAUCAAAGGAAGAGAGAAUUUAAAGCAAAAUCGGUAAGGAUGAGCAAAUCCUUGGAGGACCCGAAACCCUCCCCAUCCUGGGUUAGCAGCCCUGGCUACUUCUGUGUCUUUUUUCCUGCCCACUCCUGAGUCCCUAUUUCCCUGACCUCCGAAUGCGAGCCUCACCAUAGUUAUUAGUCUCUUUUAGGACAGUCAUUUUAGCGAUCUUAACCCUGCACUAGUCUGCUAUUGCUGAAAGGGACCAAGGACCCGGUGGCAGCCGGUGAGCAGGACAGGGCUGCGUUCUUCUCCCAGGAAGGCACCUGGGCUGGGGCUGAGUGAACCAAGGAAGGCAGUGGUCUCGGGAAGAAGAAACCGGGCCUCUCUGACCUCCCGAGGCCUGGGAGGAGGACCAUGUGCAUAUGGAGCAGGCUCGUGAAUGGAGCUGAUUUAGAUUUUCAAAAAGCCCUUCACAGAGUUAGUUCCACACAAAAGAUUGUUCCAAAAUUGAGUCAUCGCAGCCACGGGGGCUGGUGUCAAGCACUGACGUUGUCUAAAGACGCAGUAGCUCUAGGGCCAGGGGCUUCUUGGAGGUAGGCGUCCCCGCGUGACUCCCUGAGCACAGUUUUCACGAAUUAUUUGGAGGAGGGCAGGAGAAAUGACCAUAAGAUUUUCCAAUUAUGAAAAGCCCAGGUGUAAAGGACUAACCUGGAGUUUGCACCAGGCUUUGUGAACAGGAAGGAAAUACUUGACUUGGUCUUCAUACUAGCAAAACAAGUUGCUGAACUUCAGGGAAACUCAUCUAAAUGGCAUUUAAAGCCUCCGUGUUCUUUGGUUCAGCAGUCGCCACGGCCCUCAGUAUCGCCGUGUGCUGUCUUGCUGCGUGUUGGGGAGGGCGCCGUUAAACUGCGCUUCUCUCUGCUAUCUGGGAACAGAGAUGGAACAAGAAAACAUUCUCUGACUCUUGAGAAAAGUAAAUUUCAGGAUGUAGUUCAUGUGAUAGGAAAUACAAGGAAUUUAGUUUUAGGUGUUAAACCAAUAAGAUCAGAAAAUGUAAAUAUGCUCAACAUAUUGAGAACUCUGCCUGGGAGUCGCGCUGUGUUAGAGAAAGCUUUGCUGCUUGAGGAUCCGUUCCUGACACCUGGUUAUCGUUAGAACCACUCUGGAUGCAAGUGAUGAAAAUCAAAACUAACUACUUGGUGUGUGGCGGGGUGAGUCUAGCUCAGGACAAAGGGGUCCCAGGAUCAGGAGAAGGGGUCCCUUCUUCCUGGCUUUCGGCUCCAUUGUGUUCUGUGUUGGUUUCAUCCUGAGGCUGCUUCUUCACAGGGAGCAAAGGUGGCCUGAGGACCAAGAUGGGAAGCGGAAGGAGCCUGAGUUGUCUGGGUUCUGCAACCCUGUGAUGUAAGGAGAGCCCUGCGUGCUCAGCCCCGUCUUCAGUUCCUGAGGGAGGCUUCUGACAGCAGAGCGCCUGCUGAGCAGGGCAGGGACCUGGCCCUGCACCUUGAAGAUGAACAAAACAAACAGGGUCCCAGCGGCUCCUCUGGGAACAGGAAGUGCACACGCUAUUACCUGCCAGCCAGGGACAGGACAGCGGCCCAGUCCAGGACCAAGAUGGGGGAGCAGGCACCCCAGAACCACAGAACCUGAGGACCAUCAAGGUUGUGCUCUGGAUUUAAAAAAAUUUUUCUGUUUUGUUUAAAUGAGGUUUUCAAUUUUUGCAAGAAUAAUUUUACCAAGUUUCUUUGGCUAAUCAUUUAAAGAUCUAAACAGCAUCACCGUGAAGCAAAGCCCACCUAAGGAAAAUUCUCUGCUACUCUCGAGGACUGGCAUGAAACUACCUGGGUUGUGUCGUCAGCCACUGAAGAAGGAAAUCUGUGUUCGUGGACAUAGAUACCUGCGUGGUGCUGGGAAGCUGGCGUCCUUGGCCCGGAAGGGCAGGAAGGGUGUUUGUGACGGUGGGCGAGCUGGAGAAGGAAGCCUGGCUGGUGCAGGACUCUUCCCUCAGGGUCACACCCAUGAUGAGCCAAGUGAGGGUAGAGUUUGGACCCUCACACAGCCCAUCCAGGGCUGAUGCCCAAGGAUAAUCAGCCUGUGCUGUUACUGAGAACCGUGAAUAUGUGUGUCACUAACACACACAGCAGACAGACUUCUAGGCAUAACAACUAAAAGGAAAGUCGGCCGGAGAAGACCGAACGAUUUUGCUACCAAAAAAGGAGUCACAAAGUUGCCCAGGCUGGGCUUGAACUUGCAAUGCUCCUGCCUCAGCCUCCUCAGUGCUAAGAUUACAGGGUGAGACCCUGACUCAAGAUGGAGACGAAGACAAAGAAGAAUAAGAACCAUUUGUUGUAAAAAUUCUACUACAGGAAGAGAGAGGCCAGAUCCUCCUUCCUGUGAUCAGCAGGUGGCAAGCGGACCUGGGAGGACCACACCAAGCCAGCUCACGCUUGGAUAAGCCACACAAACCAUGGAGGGUGUGGAAGAGAGAAAUCAGACUGCCCUCCCUGUGGGUCCACCUGCACACGGGCUGGGAAUCAAGAGCCCCCACCACAAAGCCCAGUAAGCAGCCGGUGGUCUGGGGAUGGGCUGAGUUGACAGCAACUGAGGUACAGAAACAACAAAUGCUUGUGUUGUUUGAUUGACUUUGCAGCCCUGAAUCUGAGCCUCUAUUAGGAGGAUGACGGUAAGCAAUAUAGCAAAUAUGGGGGAUUGCCUGUGUCUUGUUUUUGAAAUCCAAUAUUGACCUCACUGUUUUGUUUUGUUCUGAUUUAUUGUUUUUUUUUUCAAUGUUCUGUUUUGAUUGAUUUUAUUCUGUUUCGUUUUGUUUGAUUUUACCAUGUCUGAUGCUAUGGGCAUCUAUUUUGAAAUUAACAAGAGACACUAUGGUAGCCACUGUUGAUUUCCUCUUAUCUUGUCUGUGCCAUCUUCACUGCCUUAUUUUGAUUGGCUUUGCUCCAUUUUGUUUUGUUGAGUUUUAUUCUCUUUAAAAUAAAAAGUGAUAUUCUCUUUAAAAUAAAACAAAAAGUGAUAUUCUCUUUAAAAUAAAAUAAAAAGUGAUAUUCUUUAACAACAAUGGGCUCCACACACUUGUGCACACCUAACUUUGGCAGCAUGGCAUCAUUUAAUGGCAUCACUUGGUUUUAAAACUUUUCUCUGUGCCAUCUGCUACCUAAAUGAUUCUGCCUUGCAUACAAGGAAACACUAGGUAUCUCGGUUCUUAUCUUCAUGACAUCUCUCUUUCUUCUUCUUCUUUUUUUUUUUUGUUUUUUGUCUUUUUCGUUUUUAUCAGUACCAGGGAUCGAACUCACGACUGCACACUUGCAAGGCAGGCACUUAUGCUGCUGAGCUAAACCCCCAGCCCUGAGUUUUUCCUUUUUCUUUUUUUUCCCAUGACAUCUCUUGAGUGUCAGCUACUAAAAUCUCCAGGCUUGCCUUAAGGCCCCACCCAGCUCGGUUUUCUCCAAGAGUCCUGGAGGAGAAGCCCAUGGAAUGUGAGCUUGACCCACAGCUGAAACAAGUCCUAACACUUAAAGGACACAGCACCUUAAACAGGCAUCAGCAUCUCCCUUUCUGCACAUAAUUACACUUCCCUGUGAUUUUCCCUCUGCCUGCAGCUUCUCAUAAUUGAUGGGCAGUGUUGUUAAGGGCAGUAGGAAAAUUAAAUGUUACACAAUUUUGCUUCCAAUCAAUGCUUCACACAUUUCAACACCCAUCCAAUCACGUGGGAAUAUUAUUAAAAUGAAGACAGUGAAGCCCUCGUACUCAGGAGGAUCCCCGUGAGCUCAUGGCCAGCCUUCGUCUGGUGUUUGUUUUUGAGAUGAGUCUCAUUAUGGAGCUCAGGCUGGCCUCAGACACACAGUGACCACCCUGCGCUGCUCCCAAGUGCUGAGAGUACAGGCGUCUGCCAUGAUGCCUGGCCCUUCAUGAUGACUCUUAAUGGUAGUAAAGCAAGGUGAUUGGGGCUGGCGUUUUUCAUCUCUUUGGGGAUAUAUGGGAUCCCCAAACAUAGUGGCUUACUAGGUCCAUUAAAUGAUUAAUCAUUUAUUUUGCUCACAAACCUGUAAUUCUGGCGGGCACAGGGGGGAUAGGUCGGUUGUUCCUGCUGGCUGUUGACUGACACCCUGCUCUUAUAAAGUCAGUCAUCUGCUCCCCUAUGGAUGGUUGGGCUCUCUUCCAGCAUGGCGGCUGGGUGCCAGCAAUGACCCAAGAUGGAAGCAAAGUGUUUUCCACGUGGGCCUCACCAGUCACCCAACAUCAUUCCUACAAUUCUCUCUUCCGGAGGCGGUCACAUCGGUCUCAGGGUUUAAGGGUGAGGGGCACUGAGACUGUCACUCGAUGGAGGAACACUGGCUUGUUUGGUACGUGGAGCACAAGGGUGGAACAUGCAGUGGAGGCUGUGUUUGGGAAACACUGUCCGAGGCAGGAGGUCUGCAGGGAAGCCUGCAGAUCUGCAUUCCUGCUUCCAGCUGUUACAGAGUCACUCAGGCAAGACAGCAAGGGUCUAGGGUGAUAAAUGGAGUCUAAUUUCGUUGGAUGCAAAUUUUCUUGUAUAGUGGCACACGCCUGUAACUCCAGCACUCAGGAGGCUGAGGAGGAUUACAAUGAGUUCAAGGCCAGCCUGGACUAUGUGGUGGGUUCCAGGCCACACUGAACCACACGGUCAGAACCUGUCUCAAAACAGCAAGAGGUUAUUGGAAAUAUACCUUGGGCUGGGGUUGGCUGAACCCGUAGAGCACUCAGAAAGGUAAAACAGGAAGGACAGGAAUUCAAAG